rnacentral:rRNA from 1 species
GUGUCAGCAGCCGCGGUAAUACGUAGGGGGCAAGCGUUGUCCGGAUUUAUUGGGCGUAAAGAGCGUGUAGGCGGCCAGACAGGUCCGUUGUGAAAACUGGAGGCUCAACCUCCAGACGUCGAUGGAAACCGUCUGGCUAGAGUCCGGAAGAGGAGAGUGGAAUUCCUGGUGUAGCGGUGAAAUGCGCAGAUAUCAGGAAGAACACCCGUGGCGAAAGCGGCUCUCUGGGACGGUACUGACGCUGAGACGCGAAAGCGUGGGGAGCGAACAGGAGGAUAUACCACCGGAUUAC